UAGAGACCGAUAGCAACCACGUGAUCAGUAAAAAUCGUGUAUUUUCACGUGAAAUUAUUUUUCGGAAUUCCGUACAUCGCCAUAGAGUAGUUGAAAAACAAAAAGGGGUUCCGAAAGUACAAGUUGUUGCUGUGACUGAAUCGAUGAUUGAGAGGGUCGUCUCGACGAAAGAUAUAGAAAUUUGGCCAUAGUUUAGAUUAGUAAUACAUCAAUGUAAUAAUAGUGGACUAAAUGUUUCGUCCGUGCAGAAUGGCACUUUUUACCUCACGAAAUUCACCACCAUGCAUAGCUGCGCUACGUAAACAAAGUUGUUGAUGUAGCGUGAUCGUGAUGUCCGAGUGCUGCGAGUUUCAAUACUGUUUAUGUAGUCAUUGAGAGUUUAAACAAAGUUUCUUCUGAGAAGAGGAAUUCGAUGGAUGCAUUUAACGUGGACAACGAAAUCAUAAUUUCGUUUGCAUCAUCCUAAGGACCAGUGCAAGUUGAAAUGGGCUUCCAACCAACAACUUCAACAGCAAUUUGCCAUGAAAAUCAGCAAGAAAGGUACUUCAUUUACAUUGAUGAUGUCAUAUCCCCUGGACCCCACAACUUUACAGGUUACAGAGAAAAUUCAAGAACUUCUGCACAAUGUGGGACUCGGAUAGAAUCAAUAAUGUAUUUGUGAGCCCAGAUAUAUUGUGCAACAUACUAAAGUGUGAAUUUAAUGGAAAACAAGUACAUGUACUCAUGUAUUACAUGUCUUUUUUAAAGACAAUAAUAUUGUAUAAAUAUAGAGGAAGUGUCAUUGUUGAUUAUUCUAAGUUUUUGAUAUACCAAAAUCAGUAAACAUUUGUAAAUGAAAAUAAAAUACCAAUUUUAUAACUUUAA